UUCCGGUUGAUCCUGCCGGACCUGAUUGCUAUCGGAUUGGUACUAAGCCAUGCGAGUAAGUGUAGCAAUACACUGCAGACGGCUCAGUAACACGUGGUCAAGCUAACCUAUGGACGUGGAUAACCUCGGGAAACUGAGAAUAAACCGCGAUAGAUCAUGAUGCCUGGAAUGGCUCAUGGUCGAAAUAGUUUACUGCCGUAGGAUGCGACUGCGGCCUAUCAGUUUGUUGGUGAGGUAAUGGCCCACCAAGACUAUUACAGGUACGGGCUCUGAGAGGAGAAGCCCGGAGAUGGGUACUGAGACACGGACCCAGGCCCUAUGGGGCGCAGCAGGCGAGAAACCUUAGCAAUGUGCGAAAGCACGACUGGGUUAGUCCGAGUGAUUCCUGCUAAAGGAAUCUUUUGCCGGUCCUAAAAGCACCGGUGAAUAAGGGGUGGGCAAGUCUGGUGUCAGCCGCCGCGGUAAUACCAGCACCUCGAGUGAUCAGGACGUUUAUUGGGCCUAAAGCAUCCGUAGCUGGCUUUGCAAGUCUCCGGUUAAAUCAACCUGCUCAACAGAUUGGCCGCUGGAGAUACUACAAGGCUAGGGAGUGGGAGAGGCAGACGGUAUUCGGGGGGUAGGGGUAAAAUCCUCUGAUCCUCUGAGGACCACCAGUGGCGAAGGCGGUCUGCCAGAACACGUUCGACAGUGAGGGAUGAAAGCUGGGGGAGCAAACCGGAUUAGAUACCCGGGUAGUCCCAGCUGUAAACGAUGCAAACUCGGUGAAGCAUUGGCUUAAUACUAAUGCUGUGCCGCAGGGAAGCCGUUAAGUUUGCCACCUGGGAAGUACGGUCGCAAGAUUGAAACUUAAAGGAAUUGGCGGGGGAGCACCACAAGGGGUGAAGCCUGCGGUUCAAUUGGAGUCAACGCCAAGGGCGAUCCAAUCGAAUU
rnacentral:rRNA from 1 species